UACGGGGGGAGCAAGCGUUGUUCGGAUUUACUGGGCGUAAAGGGCGCGUAGGCGGCCUCUGCAAGUCGACUGUGAAAUCUCCGGGCUUAACCCGGAAAGGUCAGCCGAUACUGCAGGGCUAGAGUGCAGAAGGGGCAACUGGAAUUCUCGGUGUAGCGGUGAAAUGCGUAGAUAUCGAGAGGAACACCUGCGGCGAAGGCGGGUUGCUGGGCUGACACUGGCGCUGACAGCGCGAAAGCUAGGGGAGCGAACGGG
rnacentral:rRNA from 1 species